CGGCGGCCCCGCCCCGCCGCUUCUCCGCGGCUCCCCUUCGCAGGGCCCCCGGCCGCCGGCCGCAUGGGCGCGGGCUGGGAGCUGGGGGCGGCGGCCGGCCGCUCGCUGCUGCUGUGCGCCGCGCUGCUGCUCGCGGGCUGCGCGCUGGGCCUGCGCCUGGGCCGCGGCCGGGGGGCGGCGGACCGCGGGGUGCUGGCCUGGCUCUGCUACGACGCCCUGGUGCAUUUCGCCCUGGAAGGCCCUUUUGUCUACUUGUCUUUUGUAGGAAACAUUGCAGAUUCCAAAGGCUUGAUUGCUUCACUGUGGAAAGAAUAUGGCAAAGCUGAUGCAAGAUGGCUUUAUUUUGACCCAACCAUUGUGUCUUUGGAAAUUCUGACUGUUGUCCUGGAUGGGUCUCUGGCAUUAGUCCUCAUUUAUGCCAUAGUCAAAGAGAAAUAUUAUCGGUUAAGCCAACAUUUCAUGCCAUAUGAAAUUGAAGUUUGUGGAAUUCAAAAAGCUGCUGCUUUUAUGAGCCGUAUGGGAAAGGGAUACAGGGGUCAUGCUUCACCACACCAAGAAAUACGUCUCUCAGCCAAGAGGUGGCAGCAAAGGUUGGCCUCUCCACCUCCUGUUCACCCAGGGACUCUCCCAUCUCAUCCCAGGCUCUGCAGAAAGAGGCACAGACUAAACAACUCAUCAUUCCUAUUUGACUUCCAUCUGUCUGAAGGCCAGGCCUGGGGCUUCUGGAAGGGAGGGCUCUGCCCCACCUUCCCUCCCCCUCCGCCCCAGCCCAUUCUCCACUUAUCCCGCUGAGUUGCAUCAUCUUGGUUCUGAGGAAAGUGCAAGUCUUCUGUGAGGGAACCUCCCCACCCCACCUGAGGCUGGGUUGGGAAUGCUUGAGGUGUUGAUGUGUGUUCUAAAUCCUUGAGGACAAGAAGGAAAGGCAAGGUCCUGGCUCACCCACGUGUGGGGCAUGGGCGCCUGGUCCACUUGGAGGGACACAACUAUCCCAGGCCCACAGGAGGAGGUGCGUGUGUAGACCGGGGAGGACGGACAACUGAAAACCACAGCAGAACCAAGUCAAAACCAACCCCUGUGGUUCACUUUCACCAAGAGGAUUGAUUCUGACCAAGAGAGGAAGGAGAAAAAUCUUUAAAAUCUGUGAGUCAGAAAGGGAGAAACUCAGCCUCAUAUUCAGAUGGGUAAUCAGCUCUCCAAACUGGAACAGUUCUCACUGUACACAGUGUUCACAGAAAAAAAGAACAGAGGCAUUUUAAUUUAAGAAGAAAACAGACACCUGCUGUCCUGCAUUUAUUGCCACAUCCACUGGCGCACAUUCCUGCUUCUUCACUCACUCUCGGGGAUUAAUGGGAGCUUGAUGGAUCUGAAAGGUGUGGGGGAAUUGGAACAGGCAAAGUACCUCUCAGAGAGAGAGAGAGCUGGAGAGCACAAGCAGGGGAAGAAGCAGAGGGAGAGAGAGAAGCAGGUUCUCCACUGAGCAGGGAGCCCACUGUGGAGCUCCAUCCUAGAACCUUGGGAUCAUGAUCCGAGCUGAAGACAGAUGCCCAGCUGACUGAGCCACCCAGGCGCCCCUCUCUCCCUCUAAAUAAGUUUCUCAUGGAAGCCACUUGUUAAAGAUGGCAGAACCACAACAUGGAAGGAAACUUGGGUCCUCGAAUCACGUCUUGGAGGAGAGCUUUGUGCCUGUGAGGAAUCAUCAUUUUGGAUGUUCCAUGAGUGAGAAAUAAACUUCUAUUUUGUUAAGACACUGAGGUUCUGGGGCUUAUCUAUUAUGACAGAUAGCAUUAACUAAAAUCACAUGUAGAGUCCUUAGUACGAUACCUGACACAAUACCCACUGAAUAAAUGUUAGAUGUUAAAAUCAUGACUCUAAAUAUAAACCAGGAGGUGCCUGGGUGGCUCAGUCAGUUGAAUGUCCCACUCUUGGUUUUGGCUCAGGUCAUGAUCUCAGGGUUGUAGAAUCAAGACCCAUGGAGUCUGCUUGUCCCUCUCCCUCUGCUCCUCUCUCUCUCUCUCUCAUAAAUAAAUAAAUAAAAUAUUUUUUAAGUAAAUAAAUAUGGGGCACCUGGGUGGCUCAGUCAGUUCAGUGUCUGCCUUUGGCUCAGGUCAUGAUCUCAGGGUCCUGGGAUCGAGCCCCGCAUCGGGCUCCCUGCUCAGCAGGGAUCUUGCUUCUCCCUCUCCCUCUGCUCCUCCCCCCUGCUCAU